rnacentral:misc_RNA from 1 species
GAUGAAGAACGUAGCGAAAUGCGAUGAGUAAUGUGAAUUGCAGAAUUCAGUGAAUCAUCGAAUCUUUGAACGCACAUUGCGCCCAUUAGUAUUCUAGUGGGCAUGCCUGUUCGAGCGUCAUUAAGUCCACUUAAGCCCAGCUUAGUGUUGGGAGACUGCUCCAGCGGUGCUACCCUGUAGCUACCCUGCAGCUCCUCAAAGACAGCGGCGGAGUUGUGGUAUCCUCUGAGCUUAGUAACUUGUUCUAGCUUUCGAGUACACCACUUCCCCUGCCGUAAAAACCCUUAAUUUUUAAUGGUUGACCUCGGAUCAGGUAGGAAUACCCGCUGAACUUAAGCAUAUCAAUAAGCGGAGGA